rnacentral:rRNA from 1 species
CCUACGGGAGGCAGCAGUGGGGAAUAUUGCACAAUGGGCGAAAGCCUGAUGCAGCGACGCCGCGUGAGGGAUGACGGCCUUCGGGUUGUAAACCUCUUUCAGUAGGGAAGAAGCGAAAGUGACGGUACCUGCAGAAGAAGCGCCGGCUAACUACGUGCCAGCAGCCGCGGUAAUACGUAGGGCGCAAGCGUUAUCCGGAAUUAUUGGGCGUAAAGAGCUCGUAGGCGGUUUGUCGCGUCUGCCGUGAAAGUCCGGGGCUCAACUCCGGAUCUGCGGUGGGUACGGGCAGACUAGAGUGAUGUAGGGGAGACUGGAAUUCCUGGUGUAGCGGUGAAAUGCGCAGAUAUCAGGAGGAACACCGAUGGCGAAGGCAGGUCUCUGGGCAUUAACUGACGCUGAGGAGCGAAAGCAUGGGGAGCGAACAGGAUUAGAUACCCUGGUAGUCCAUGCGUAACGUAGGCGACUAGUGUGGGAGAUCUACGUUCCGUCGCGUGCUACGCAUAGUGCCGCCGUGGAGGUACGGCCGCGAGGACGUAAACGUUAAAGUAGUAAGUUAGUUACGGUCGUUGAGAGUUGCCGACGGCGACGACGAGGGAGGAGG